rnacentral:rRNA from 1 species
CCUACGGGUGGCCGCAGUGAGGAAUAUUGGUCAAUGUGCGUAAGCCUGAACCAGCCAAGUCGCGUGAGGGAUGAAGGUUCUAUGGAUCGUAGACCUCAUUUAUAAGGGAAUAAAGUGCGGGAAGUGUCCCGUGUUGUAUGUACCUUAUGCAUAAGGAUCGGCUAACGCCGUGCAAGCAGCCGCGGUAAUACGGAGGAUACGAGCGUUAUCCGGAUUGAUUGGGUUUAAAGGGUGCGUAGGAGGCCUUUUAAGUGAGCGGUGAAAGGCUGUGGUUCAACCAGAGAAUAGCCGUUGAAACUGGGAGUCUUGAGUAUGUUUGAGGCAGGCGGAAUGCGUGGUGUAGCGGUGAAAUGCUUA